AUUGAACGCUGGCGGCAUGCUUUACACAUGCAAGUCGAACGGUAACAGGGUGCUUGCACCGCUGACGAGUGGCGAACGGGUGAGUAAUGCGUCGGAACGUGCCGAGUAGUGGGGGAUAACGCAGCGAGAGUUGUGCUAAUACCGCAUACGUACUGAGGUAGAAAGUGGGGGACCUUCGGGCCUCACGCUAUUCGAGCGGCCGACGUCUGAUUAGCUAGUAGGUGAGGUAAAGGCUCACCUAGGCGACGAUCAGUAGCGGGUCUGAGAGGAUGAUCCGCCACACUGGGACUGAGACACGGCCCAGACUCCUACGGGAGGCAGCAGUGGGGAAUUUUGGACAAUGGGCGCAAGCCUGAUCCAGCCAUUCCGCGUGCAGGAUGAAGGCCUUCGGGUUGUAAACUGCUUUUGUACGGAACGAAACGGUUCUCUCUAAUACAGGGGGCUAAUGACGGUACCGUAAGAAUAAGCACCGGCUAACUACGUGCCAGCCGCCGCAGUAA
rnacentral:rRNA from 1 species